rnacentral:rRNA from 1 species
AUUGAACGCUGGCGGCAUGCUUUACACAUGCAAGUCGAACGGCAGCACGAAAGAGCUUGCUCUUUUGGUGGCGAGUGGCGAACGGGUGAGUAAUGCAUCGGAACGUACCGAGUAAUGGGGGAUAACUAUCCGAAAGGAUAGCUAAUACCGCAUACGCUUUGAGAAGGAAAGUGGGGGCUCUUCGGACCUCACGUUAUUCGAGCGGCCGAUGUCUGAUUAGCUAGUUGGUGGGGUAAAGGCCUACCAAGGCGACGAUCAGUAGCGGGUCUGAGAGGAUGAUCCGCCACACUGGGACUGAGACACGGCCCAGACUCCUACGGGAGGCAGCAGUGGGGAAUUUUGGACAAUGGGCGCAAGCCUGAUCCAGCCAUGCCGCGUGUCUGAAGAAAGGCCCUUCGGGGUUGUAAAAGGGACUUUU